GGGCCCGUAGCUCAGUGGCAAAGCACCCGGUUUGCAUCCGGGAAACGGGGGUUCGAUUCCCCCCGGGUCCA
rnacentral:tRNA from 7 species